ACUAACUAAGUCACGGUGGAAAUAAGUCCGUGAAAAAAAGUUUGUGCAAACAAAUAUCAAAUAUCCAAGUUCGUCACAUGUACUGUUGUUCACAUGUUUCUAUUAGCUUCGCGUGUGUAUUAGCUCAUUAGCUUACGGUGUUCAUUAUUAUUAUUAGCACUCAUUAGCAAAGUGAACGGACUCUUAGCCACCGCGUGGCUAACUCGGCUUGCUCCGAAGGCUUUAGCUCGUCGUUGUCGACGUGGAAACCUCGAGGGAUUGCGAGACUGCCCAGUUAACGCUGAGAGCUUCCUCUGCUUCGCGGGAGAGACCACACGCCAUCCCUGGACAUCGGUCCGCCACCUUGAUCUUCGUCACGGGAGACCUGAGGGACUGGUGACGUCAUCAGCUGCCGAGGCCACGCGCCGUCUCCGGACACCUGCCUGCGUCUCGUUCUUCAUCCGGGGGACCAAGUCACAUUUUACAAGCUGAAUUCCCCCCUCCUCAACAAUUGGACUGCAUCAGUUCCUGCUAUCUCCCCGCUCGAAGAAGGUGGCAAGUGAGCUGAGAAGGGGCCAGCCUGUGCAGGGGCAUUUGGAUGGGGGAAGGGCAUGUCUGCUGGCAACGAGGUGUGACAGGCCUGCUCACCAAGCCGUACACCCCUCUGCAUGGAGACAGCCACCACCACCACCUGCCCCCCUCCUCCACUCCUCGGCUGCUACACCCCAGCAGGCAGGAGCCACUCUCACCUGCAACCACACCCAAAACCUCCUCACCCCAAACUGAAAAUCCUAAUCUGACUCGUGUCGCCUCGUUUCUCUGUUUCAGGUGUGUAAAUGUAAAAUAAAAGUCCGCGGAUGAUUUAGUACUUUAUAGUCUCGUGCUUCCGCACCGUAGGCGCGUCGUGCUGUCUCUCUCUCUCUUUCUUUCUCUCUGGCUCACUUCUCUUUCUUUAUCUCUGCCUCCUAAGUCCCCCCCCUCCCCACUCCCUCUCCCUUGGAUGGCAGGUCAGGCAGUGAGCUGUGCGGGCUCAGAGGAGCCAGUGUCUGUUCCGGAGACAAUCCAGGAGUUGGCAUUGCACUUGAUGGCAGAGCUUUGGGAAGGGAGUGGAGGAAGAGUCCUACUGGAACCACCGGAACGCCGCUCCUGUAGGAAGCAUCACCUUCUUGGAGAAACGGAAGAUGAGAGGAGAGGAGAGGAGGAGUGGCACACAUGCAUGCAGCUGCAGGGCUCAGCAGCGGCCUGCCAGUCAGGAGAUAGAGAGCCACUCGGGUCCCCCGAGCUGCAGCGCGGCUGGCGUCCUCUGCAACUCGAUUCUGCAGCAUGGAUUCUUCCGUCAGCAGGCUCUGCCUGGAGCGAGGCAGGAGGAGCUCGGCAAACAUUUAUGCACCCACACACACUCUCGCACCAAACCAAUAUGUAUUCAAGUACAGCCACACACCUCCACACACAGUGGCACGUUAACCGACACUCACAGUACACCCCCUGAAAUCACACCAAACAGCGGCUGCUGAACUGAAAUUCUCAAACACAAUGGAUUCAGAUUCACUUUUCCACAAGAACUCAACAGCAGAAGGUUUAAUAAGGACUCCUAUACAGUAAACUGUGAGUGCAAACACAAAUACGCACACCCAUGCUCUCAAACCUAUCUAUUUAAAAGGACAACUGUCAAACAUAUUUGUACUGCUGUAUAUAACAAAGAGAUCAUUUAUAAUUAUGUGUAAGUGCAGUUCUCUUGCACAGCUGCACUCAAAUUCUGAGUUUUCUAAUAAAGGUGACUCGGUGGUAAAUGGCCCAUUAGUUCAGGGAAGUUUGUUCAAAAAAAGUACCAGCACUAAUUCAUUUUCAAGCCCACUUUAACCAUUCCGCUACCCUUGAAUAAGCAGUGCAGUGUUCUUUUCAAUGCCAUUGUUCAUAUCUGUACAUGAAAAUAAGUGACAGCGGGGUUCGUGCUCCCCAGGUUGCAUCCCCUUUCAUUUUAAAAGUUAACUCCUGCUGACAAAAACAGAAACACUUUCGCUGGGGUGAAAAGACUUCAUACGAGGUAAUUACUCUGGUUGAUCUCAACCAAAUAAUGCCCACACUGUGUUAUUUGUUAAAAUGACUCAAUCCCAAAUAAUCUGACAGCGGAGACACUGAAUACCAAAGUGCUGCUCAUCGCCUUCAUGUAGUUCACAGUUCAAAGAUGUAGCAAAUGUUAAUGGUGCAGGUUUAUGUGUAUGUGGUGCUGCUCUUUUUAUUUUUUUUAACCUCAAAGUUCCUGCAGAGUCAGAUUUAGUAAAUAAAUCCUUGUUUGCCUCAAAUUAUUAUUAAUACCAACCGCAAACCUGGAGGUCAAGCAGCAUAUUGCCAACUUUAUUUCAUGGGGGGUGUGUUAAUUAUAGUUCACCCCACAUAUCCCUGUGAUGACCUUUCUACUGCAGCACUCAGCUGCUCACAAGACAGUCAGAGGACAGCAACAUCUGGCACUGCCACAGAUGUCAAAAAUCUGGAAAACGGACCGACCAUGACGCAAUGUGUGGGAGGAGAAUCAACGCGUCCCUGGGUUGAACUGAAAAUGCUUUAGUUUUUUUCCUCAUUAUCGAACAUGUGCAAUCAAUGGAAAAAUGGCAGCAGCUCAGGAAUAGAAGAAACGCUUCCUUCACCAACGCUGAUUGCACAGGUUCGGACAAAUGGGAUCUGUGGGUGUGAAGUGGCCAAUCACUACAAUUGAUGGAUGUUUUUUCAAACGAGGCACGCAGUGUCACAUACCACGAAAACAUCCUGUCCUUUUUCAGAUUAACUGCUUCUUAAAUGAGUUAAAUCACCACCAGUUACAAUGGCCUUUAUGAGGACAGUGCAUGGUGUUAGAUGUUACUGAUGCAAAUUCCUGUUUAAGCCGUUGUGAAUUCAGUUUUUGGCCUCAGGGCACCGCUGAACAGUCUGGUUAUUGUUUUCCUGGCUUCAUCAGCAACAGUUUGGAGGAUUCCCUUGUGGACACCCACGAGAAAAAAACAGAAGAAAAAAAACACAAACUGACACAAUGAGCAUCUCCACAUACUGUAUUGUAUGUGGGCUGUAACGCUGUCUGCUGUUCAAAGGAGCAGGAAAGAAAACAGGCGAAUCAAAACACCAGUGACCUCUAGUUGGCA